AGCCCCGCGCUCUACCAGGCAGAGCGCGUGUGGCCGCCGAGCACAUGGACCCACUGGUCAAGCGGGCUCGGCAAGGCCAGGAUGAAGAGAAGCUACGAACUUAGCAUUCCCAGAGCCCCCCGAGUGGAUAUCCGCGUGGAAAGGAUGUUGGCAGCCCCGGUGACCUCGGAGUCACGGCUGGAUCCACCCUCUUAGAGCCGAGUUCUGUCACCACAGACAUUGGCAGUGGCACUUGCAUGCCCCUGGCAAGCAGUCUAUCCUGAGGUGGAGGAAGUUGCCCUUGAGUUCUGGCUGGUAACCAGCACAGGGGCUGGGACACUGCCUGAUUGAGGUGGCCAUUGAGAAUUCAAGUGUACCUCUUGGUCCCUGAUGCAGAAAUGAAGUCCCCAGCAUGCUCAAGAAGAGCUUCCUUGGAGGAUGAGAGGCAUGGGAAUCUAAGUAUACCCUUUAAGCGUUCCAGAAGGAUUUUGAGAUCCUUUCCUAAAUCAAAGGUGGAAUAUUUGGGGAUUUGGAAAAUUGAGAUGUGAAGCGUUGACUUAAGAGAUGCCAAGUAACUCAGCAGAUGUCACACAGACGAUAAAUAGCAAAGAUGGAAGUCUUCAUGCCGGAGGCAAUCCUAUAAGACAGCUGAGUUCUGCAGAGCUGGAGACAGACUUGCUCAGGUGAUAGAUCCAGCCAUGAUACUGACCCUAAGAGAAUGAGACGCUCUGCAGAAGACAGAAGAUUCCUGAAACUGGGAAAGGUGCCUAGAAAUCCUGAUAAGAGUGAAGAAGGGUACCUGGAGGCACAGCAGCCAUGUUGAACCUAUGAGGUGAUGAAAAACCAUGCAACUAGAAACCAGAAUGGAAGAAAAGAAGAAGCUGGAUCCUUGACUGAAUUGUCGAUGGGGGAUAGUCCAUCAUCCCAGGGCUAAGACCACCUCCAGAUUUCUUGUUUGGUGAAACAAGUCCUGAUUGUUUACAUUCCCUCGUGUUGAGCUGUCUCUUGCUUGUAGCUGAAAGCAUUUCUAAUAGAUAUUCAGAUUAUCAGCCUUAGCUCCAAGCUAGAAUACUCUAUGGGACCUUAGCUUCUCCAUGAAUUCCUUUGCUCAUCUGUGUAAUGCUCAAUAAAUGUAAAUUGAACCCUGAAUGAGGGACAAUGACAC
rnacentral:lncRNA from 1 species